UGGCGGCUCCGGACAGCCCGGACACGGACUUUGACCCCGCGCCGGGCCCGGCUGCGGCCCCUCUGCCCAGGCCCUUAAACCUUGGACCGCAGUGCCUUUGUAAACAGGCUGUACCGAGGGAGCCCGCGCAAGCCGCGCGACGCUGCCCGCACACCCCUCGCCAGCGCAAAAAAAAAGGGGCAUUUAAUUUAUUUAUUGCCCCGCGGGUAGUAAACAACGGAGCGAUGCGCGUGGCGGUGGUGGGCGCCGGCGUGGCGGGGCUCUCCACGGCGCUGUGCGUGCUGGAGCAGUGCGGCCCGCGCGCGCCCGCGCUGCAGCUCGCCGUGCACGCCGAGCGCCUCUCGCCGCGCACCGCCAGCGACGGCGCCGUGGGGCUCUGGCAGCCCUACGCGCUGCACGGCCGCGGCCCCCAGGAGACGCUCUGGAACAAGGAGACCUUCGAGUACCUGCUGGGGCACGUGGGCUCGCCGGAGGCCGAGGAGAUGGGGCUCUUCCUGGUGUCUGGCUACAACCUGUUCAAAGAGCCCGUCCCGGACCCCGUUUGGAAGGACAUAGUCCUGGGCUUCCGGCACCUGACACCGCGAGAGCUCGAGCUCUUCCCUGGCUACAGCUAUGGCUGGUUCAACACGGCGCUCAUGCUGGAGGGCAGGAGGUAUUUGCCCUGGCUCACCAAGAGGUUAAUGCAGAGGGGAGUGAAGUUCUUCCACCAGAAGGUUGAAUCUUUCCAGGAGCUGUUUGACCAGGGCGCCGACGUGGUCAUCAACUGCACCGGGGUGCGCGCGGGGGACCUGCAGCCCGACCCGGCGCUGCAGCCCGGCCGCGGGCAGGUCAUAAAGGUGCGGGCUCCGUGGGUGAAGCACUUCAUCAUAACUCACGACCUCGAGUCGGGAAUCUACAACUCGCCCUACAUCAUCCCAGGGAGCGAGGUGACCGUGCUGGGAGGCGUGAACCAGCUGGGCAACUGGAGCGAGGAGAACAGCGCCCAGGACCACAGGGCCAUCUGGGAGAGCUGCUGCCGGCUGCUGCCUGCGCUCCAGGAUGCACCCAUCGUGGAGGAGUGGAGCGGCCUGAGACCCGUGCGGCCCAGCGUUCGCCUGGAGAGGGAGGCCGUCGGGCCCGGGCGCUCCGAGGUGAUCCACAACUACGGCCACGGCGGCUUCGGCAUCACCAUCCACUGGGGCUGCGCCAUGGCUGCGGCCCGGCUCUGCAGCAACAUCCUGCAGGAGAGGCUGCCGCUCCGCGCCGCCCGCCUCUGAGCUGCCCGCCCGUCCACCCGCCCCGCUUUAGCAGCCGUAGCUUAGGAAUCGUAGGAGGAAAGCAGAGGCAAAUCACCCGUGGCUGCGCCCCGCGGCACCCUUCCGUUGCAGCACGCGGCUGUUCUGCGGCUGUCACCAACCUUCCCUCCGCCCCGGCCUCGCUCGGCUUGUGCGGAGCGAGAGCUUCAAGAUACAGACUGUUGCUCUGUGGUUCUAUAUAUAGCAGAGAACAUGUGCGAAAUAGCUGCAGUCGCCUCCAGAACUCCCGCCCGCACUCGAGCUUCCCGUCGGCUCAGCCUGGAGAGGCGCCGGAGCAGCAGCCGGAGCCGCUCGCGGGCACCGCCGCAGCCCCGGCUCCCGCUCCCAAAGCUGUCCCGCAUGGAAAAGGCUCGGAGCCGAGGGCAGCCUGCCCAAGGCGGACGUCGGGACGCGAGGCUGCCUGGCAAAGCGGCUCCGACUUGGAGCCGCAGCUCACCUAUGGUUGUGCUCACCCCAAAGCCACAAAAUCCAGGGAGGGGGGAACAGGGGCAAUAGCUGGAGACAGUGCCUUAAUGAAUAACGUUAAACCUAAUGGUCUGUGGUGUCACCUCAGUAGAAACCACUUGGCGGGAUGGCAGCCGCUCCGUUUCACCCGUUCCGCGUAUGAGGUGCUGAGGAUGGUGCUGUCUGUCCAUCUGUCCGCCCAUCCCGCAGCCGAGGCCGCUUCCCAAGGGCUAAUGCUGGCCAGGCCAGGCCAGAGGAGGCCUUGGGGACUCAGCUAGAGCCUGAGGGGCCGCGCGGGGCAUGGCCAUGGAUCGUGUCUUGGAAAAAAGAUACGUAGAAAGGAGUAGGUGGGGAAUUUUAUUUGCAUUCUGCU